UUUUUGUCGGUGUGUGGCACGGAAAAAUUUUGGUUUUUUCAGGAGCGUGAGACAAAAA
rnacentral:tRNA from 1 species